GGCGAGAUGGCCGAGUGGUCUAAGGCGCUAGUUUCAGGUGAUUGUAUCACUUUACUAGUCAGAAAUGGCGUGGGUUCGAAUCCCACUCUCGUCA